GACAAGCUCGAAAAAGAGGGCGUCAGCGUCGCUGGGUACAUCUGCCUUGCGAGAUACGGCAAGGGAACCCGAGGAGAUAAAGUCCGCAUUUGCAAAGAGCGUGGCGGCAUCGGAGCCAUACUCUUCGGUGAUCCGAUGGACCUCGCUCCGAAAGGAGACGAUUUGGUUUACCCGAAGAGCCAGUUCGUCGGCGGUUCUGCCAUGCAGCGGGGAACUCUGGAUUUUACGCAGGACGCCGAGACCCCCGGGUACCCCUCAAUACCGGAAGCUAUGAGGAUCAUGAAUCCGCCCGGUUUGCCCAAAAUACCAGCGCAGGUCAUUGGAUACAACGACGCUCGAGUUUU